rnacentral:rRNA from 1 species
AAAGGAAUUGACGGGGGCCCGCACAAGUAGCGGAGCAUGUGGUUUAAUUCGAAGCAACGCGAAGAACCUUACCUGGGCUUGACAUCCCAAGAAUCCUGUGGAAACACGGGAGUGCCCUUCGGGGAACUUGGUGACAGGUGGUGCAUGGUUGUCGUCAGCUCGUGUCGUGAGAUGUUGGGUUAAGUCCCGCAACGAGCGCAACCCUUGUUGUUAGUUGCUACCAUUAAGUUGAGCACUCUAGCAAGACUGCCUGGGUAACCAGGAGGAAGGUGGGGAUGACGUCAAAUCAUCAUGCCCCUUAUGUCCAGGGCUACACACGUGCUACAAUGGUUGGUACAAAGAGAAGCAAGACCGUGAGGUGGAGCAAAUCUCAUAAAACCAAUCUCAGUUCGGAUUGUAGGCUGAAACUCGCCUACAUGAAGCUGGAGUUACUAGUAAUCGCGAAUCAGAAUGUCGCGGUGAAUGCGUUCCCGGGCCUUGUACACACCGCCCGU